rnacentral:rRNA from 1 species
UUCUGGUUGAUCCUGCCAGACCUGACUGCUAUCGGAUUGAUACUAAGCCAUGCGAGUCGUUGUAGCAAUACAAGGCAUACGGCUCAGUAACGCGUAGUCAACCUAACCUAUGGACGGGAAUAACCUCGGGAAACUGAGAAUAAUGCCCGAUAGAACAUUAUGCCUGGAAUGGUUUAUGUUCCAAAUGAUUUAUCGCCAUAGGAUGGGACUGCGGCCUAUCAGUUUGUUGGUGAGGUAAUGGCCCACCAAGACUAUUACAGGUACGGGCUCUGAGAGGAGUAGCCCGGAGAUGGGUACUGAGACACGGACCCAGGCCCUAUGGGGCGCAGCAGGCGAGAAAACUUUGCAAUGUGCGAAAGCACGACAAGGUUAAUCCGAGUGAUUUCUGCUAAAGAGAUCUUUUGUUAGUCCUAGAAACACUAACGAAUAAGGGGUGGGCAAGUUCUGGUGUCAGCCGCCGCGGUAAAACCAGCACCUCAAGUGGUCAGGAUGAUUAUUGGGCCUAAAGCAUCCGUAGCCGGCUCUGUAAGUUUUCGGUUAAAUCUGUACGCUCAACGUACAGGCUGCCGGAAAUACUGCAGAACUAGGGAGUGGGAGAGGUAGACGGUACUCGGUAGGAAGUGGUAAAAUGCUUUGAUCUAUCGAUGACCACCUGUGGCGAAGGCGGUCUACCAGAACAUGUCCGACGGUGAGGGAUGAAAGCUGGGGGAGCAAACCGGAUUAGAUACCCGGGUAGUCCCAGCUGUAAACUAUGCAAACUCAGUGAUGCAUUGGCUUGUGGCCAAUGCAGUGCUGCAGGGAAGCCGUUAAGUUUGCCGCCUGGGAAGUACGUACGCAAGUAUGAAACUUAAAGGAAUUGGCGGGGGAGCACCACAAGGGGUGAAGCCUGCGGUUCAAUUGGAUUCAACGCCGGA